CGCUCACAUGAAGGUGGACCCGACUUACUAUUCAUGUGAGGAGAGCCUUGCAGAAAUAUCAAUUUCUCUUGCGGAAAUAUCAAUUUCCCUUGCGGAACCCAGAAUGGCUUCUUUAAUAUACCAAUAGUUUAAUCCACCGACUUCUUAUUAAUAAUCCUGAAAGAUAAAAAAAAAUAUUAUUAAUUAUUAGAAUUAGUAUAAUAAAGUUUGGGAAUUACUAUUUUCACAAGUAAAACAUGAUAUUCUAUAAGAUCUCACUUACAUGAAGGUGGACCCCACUUACUAUUCAUGUGAGGAGAGCCUUGCGGAAAUAUCAAUUUCCCUUGCAAAAAUAUCAAUUCCCUAAAGUUUAUGCGUACAUCCAAAAAUAAAUUCUUGAAGACCAUACAUAUCUUUCACCUGUAUUCUGUUUGUUGUACAAAAAUUACAUCAACAUGUUUCAUUUAACAAAUGACAAAGCUUACUUCCUUUUUAUUUUUUAUUUUUUUGAAUUUCCAAUUUUGUUUUGACUAUUGUUUUCAUGUUUAUAUCUUAGUGUUCCUUGGUAGUUUUAUCAAAGAAACAAGAAAACGUAGUUUGACUAUCAUCUUUCAAGAAGUAGUUGAUACAUUAUAUUUCUUCCAGAAAUGCUUAUAUACUUGGGGAUAUGGUGUAAUUACUGUUAAAGUUCAAACUUAAGCCAACAUAACCAUUGUACAAUGCUUUUAAAUUUCAGCUUUAUGUUUCGUAUUGCAGAGAAAUCAUGCACUUUUUUUUCUUCUUGUUGGAGGCGGUCAUUCACAUCAUACAGCAUUUUGUUAUUAGCUUUUAUGGUGAUAACCUAAAAUGUAUAGAAAUCCUAACUUUUUUAUAUGGUUUAACAUGUGAUUACCACAGUCAAAAAUGGCAGCUAUAAUGGCAUCUUUCAUUAUGCACAAACCUCGACAAAGAUCACCUUUCACCAAAGCUGCUCUGAAGACGGUACCCUGUGCAUAUAUUCUUUUCUACUACAAUACCUUACGAAUAAGCAUUUAUUAUUUUAUGUGUUUUGAAUAUUGAAUCUUAUUCCCUGAGAAUAUCUAGGUUUGCUGUAAAGGGAAAUAUUUGAAGGUUACUGUAAUUUAACUGAUAACUUUUAUUUGUCAGCUUGAGAGCAUUGGAGAACUACAGCAGUUCUUGAUGAAGCAUAAGAAGGACUACGUUGAUGUGCACCGCACCACUGAGCAGGAGAGAGAUAGUAUUGAGCAUGAAGUAAGAUUUGAGAUUUGAACGAAUCUAAAAUGGGAAUCUAUGAUACAAUUUAAGUCGCCAUAAAUUUUUUUAUGUGAUAUUUAUCUUGUACUUGCACCAGAGUUAUAAAAUAUUUGCUCAUGCCAGAACUUUUAACACGUUUACACUGAAUGAAUGUGGUUGCUAGUAAGAAAAAGAAAUACUUUCCUCUCAUAUUUGGUCUAGAAAGAUGAAACAUUUUGUUUGGAUGAUAUGAAAAAGUCUUCACAGCAUUUCUUGGAAUUGACUUUUAUAACUUCAUCUACAUUUGAUUUACCACAGCAAGAAAACCAAUUUUGAGGCCCUGCUUGGUUGAGGGACAAUCAAUUUCCCAUGGUUCUUUGAGUUGGUUGUUUGCAUAUGAUUAGGUAUCUACAUAUUAGGCUUAAAGAAGCUUUUUGGAUUCUUGGGAUUAUGUAUAGAUUUUACACAAAAGGUCUAUGCAAGAUUAAAUUUGAGCAGCUUUUGUCCAAGUCUCUAGUCGUCUUAACUAGGUUCAGUUGAAUAUAUAUACACACACACACACAUAUAUACAAGUGUGAGACAUAUAUAAAGGAAGCCUACUUGUAAGGUUUGUUUACUGUCAGAACUCUACCACCCUUCACUUCUCAAAUCAGAUCCACAAAAUUUGAUCCUUUAUAUGUAUUUACUUCUGCAUUCUGAGAUUUGUUUGGGUGAACCAAAAAUAUGUUAAGAGUGAGAGAGUGGGGCCCAUAUCAAAGUUGUAAGUGUCCUCACUGGGUUAAGUCCUCCCUCACCACACCAUGGCUGGAGGGAAUACUGGCCAAUAUUGAAUUACAUAUGUCUACCUUGCCAUAUGAUUUUGAAACUCUUAGGGUAAGGAUGGGCAAAUUUUCCAGAUUUGAAUAAAAAAGACUUGGCACAAAAUGCAUCAGUUGGAUUGGCAAAGCAGUAGUUUGAUGUUUUGUUUUCUUUUGUUUGCAAACCUAGAGUUAUUCAUAUCUCAAUGCUUUGAUACAAUUUUGGUGACACCUACUGAACUUACUAUAAUUUGGAUAUAUUAGAUUGUAAAUUGGUGAUUUAGGUUUUGUAUCUUGCACAACAAAAGUUAAGGUCUAAAGUCUAAAUUAUAUUGGAUGUUUGCCUGCUCAAUUUUUUGUUACUUAACCCUCUGCAGGUUACAAUUUUUAUAAAAGCGUGCAAAGAACAGAUAGACGUACUAAAAAUUGGUAUAAAUGAUGAUGAAGCAAAUUCAAAGGGCUGGCUUGGUAUCAGGGGCGAUAGCCCUAAUGCUGAUACCAUAGCUCACAAACAUGGAGUGGUAUGUUUACAACAUUUUGAUGAUAAAGAUCUUUAAUGCUUUGGGGCUAAUUAGAUAGUUUUUUGCUUAAAUUGUUCAUGAAAAAGCUUGAUAGACAAAUAUAACGUACACUUCUGUGCGAAUAAAGGUUAAAUUUUAUAUAUAUAAAAUUCUCUGUCGUAAAUGUUUUAGUUAUGAACCCAAAUAAAGUAUAAGCUGUUGCGAUAUCACAAUCAUAAACAUCACCUUUGUUAUGAUAUCCCACUUGCAUUUGAUAUCAGAGUGAACUCGUGCUAGUCUUAAUGCAACCAUCUCAAGUUAGGCUUGACUCUUGUCCAUGUGGUGCUGUCUCUCUGAAUUUCAUGGCAAUGCCUACAACUGCAAAACUUUACUUAAAAGCUUAGCUUUUUUUCCUCGAGUUCUCGCUUCUUUUAUAUAUAGUUAUCGUGCCCCCUAGCUCAAAACAAGGAAGUACAACUUGCAGAAUAGAAUAUAUAUAUAUAUAUAUAUAUAUACACACACACACACAAUCUCCCUCUUGUAGGAUUUGCAUGCAGUUUAUAUAUUUGUUGACAUGCAAGAUAUGAAGUUUACUCUCCUUUCUAGUAUUAUAGAAAUGUUUUUUGCAAGAAAGUGAUGUCAUCGAGUAGCAUUACAUACAAGCAAUUGCUAAAUGUAAUAAACUUAAAAGAAUAAACACCAAGCAAUUUGUAUUUUCUUCCAAAUGUAACUCAUGCAUAUGAACGGGGGUGCCCCAUUUGAGCGCACUGUUAAUGUUUUCCAUUUAAUCUUUUGGAUGCAAGUAAUUUCUCUAUGCUUUUUGUUUAUUGGGUGCAGGUUUUGAUUUUAAGCGAACGGCUUCAUGCUGUGACAUCACAGUUUGAUCAGUUGAGAGCUGUUCGCUUCCAAGAUGCUAUCAACCGAGCUAUGCCGAGAAGAAAACUAAAGAAGGCUGCCACAACAGAUUCUACUGAUAUUUCAAAGCUUAACAAGUUGGAGCUAAGGGAGCAUAUCAAUUCAGAGAUUGGGGAGACUAGUGAUGUUCAAGCAGAGCCUCUUAGAGUCCAGCAACAGCUAUUGGAUGACGAAACACGUGCACUUCAGGUAAUUAGAUAUUUAAUUCCUGAUGCAUUUCUUUAAGUCUCUCACAUUUGUGAAGUCUUCGCUCAUUAUUCACAGGUUAUUUCUUUAGCAAAGCUGUUUCUUUUGUGAUACAGGUAGAGUUGACGAGUCUUCUAGUUGCUGUACAAGAAACUGAAACUAAGAUGGUAGAAAUGUCUGCAUUGAAUCAUCUCAUGUCGACACACGUGCUGCAGCAGUCUCAACAGAUUGAACUUUUGUAUGAGCAGGUCUGAACAUUGGCAUAUGAUUAUUUAUCUGGUUGUUUAUUUAAUCAAGUUCAUCCUUAAUCAGCACGGUCAUCUUUUCAACAUUUUACAAAGAGAAAUAAUGCAGCCAGCUCUAGCUUUCUCACUACCUCUAAGAAUUGGUGAAACAAACCUACCUUUGAAAACCAAGAUCACUAGUUAAUUCACUAGAUAUGGCUUGCCAGUCAAAUGCAGCUGCUAAUUUGGUUGCUAUGUUUUUCUUUUCCUUAGUUAGGCAUGUCUCCAAUACUAAAUGACAUGGAAUUUGUCAUACCUAUGAGAAAAUUGAAAAGAACUCUUGAGCAUCUGUGUAUGACUGAAAAAUCAUGGUUUUUGAGUACUUCUAAUCGAGGAAAUUUGAAAUUUUCAAUGUCCACUACACGUUACCCGGGCAUUGAAUACAGGUAAUUUUUUGAUAGAAAAACCUUCAUGAGAUUCAACUGCCAAAACGACAUUGUUUGACAGGAAUCAAACAUUUAACUAUAGGAAUUUUACUUUUGCCCCUUCAAUUUAUAGUUUGCACGAAGUAAAAUUAUUUUACCGUUGCAAAUAAAAGCUUCUAGACUAAGUUACUGGAGUUGAUGCACUGGUUUUACGUGCACCUUGCCGCAGUUAAAUGUUCUUAGAGCAAUGCUACAUACACCUGAUUCCUUAAACUAUUGAUGUGAAGCAUCCCCCAUCCUCUCUAAAUUACCAAAAAAACUGAGACUUGGCUUUUAUAGUUAGUUUUAGGGAUACCUUGAAACAUCAGUAUGUUCAGGAUAUAGGUGCACUUGGCAUUUCUUGAUGUUCUUAAUGUUUUCUUUUAGUGUGUCCCAUCCCCAUGUUAUGUGGAAAUAUCAUUUCAACACUUUCUUUCACAAACAUUUUAUUGACAAUUCCUUGUUUGCUCAUCAACUCUAUUCUUGAUGCUUCAGUUUGUACUAAUUCUUCUUAAACCAUUUUGGUUAUACAGGCGGUUGAAGCAACCCAAAAUGUAGAGCUCGGUAACAAAGAACUGUCGCAAGCCAUCCAACGAAAUUCCAGUAGCAGAACGUUUCUUUUGCUGUUUCUAUUUGUACUUACAUUUUCAGUCCUUUUUCUUGAUUGGUAUAGUUAAAUUGGAGGGAUGAAUUAAAAUACAUUUAGGACUUCAACUAUUAUAAUAAUUAUUAUUAUUUUUUACAUAUUAUUUUGUUAAAUAAACUCGAGUAAAAAUGACUUUUGGCAGAAGAUGACAAAAACAAAAAAUGAAUAAAAGGAAAUUCAAGUCAAAAUGGGCCUAUGAGUCCAAAACAACUUCAAAUAAACCACUCGACUAUGACCCAAAAUAUGUACCUCAAUUGUGGGCAAUCCAGCCCGAAUAUCUUGAACACGAACAUUUGUAACCCGUAACCCUACAUAUAAAAGCAACUCUAUCUUUACAUUUUGCCAUUAGGGUUUUAGCUUCCUUAUUCGCAGGCGACUCUCUCUCUCAGUUGCAAAUCCUCCAGCAGCAAAAAUGGUGAAAGGACGUCAAGGCGAGCGAGUCAGGUUAGAGCUAUAGCUUUCUCUCUCCUCUCCAUUUCCAUUAAAAUCUACAAAAACAUCAUUUGAUUUUACGUUCGUGAUCGAUUGAUUUCAGGCUCUACGUAAGAGGAACAAUCCUCGGUUACAAGCGGUCUAAAUCGAACCAGUAUCCAAGCACCUCGUUGAUUCAAAUUGAAGGAGUGAACACCAAGGAGGUCACCUGGUACCAGGGUAAGCGACUAGGAUACAUCUACAAGGCCAAGGUGAAGACUGGUGGCUCACACUAUCGCUGCAUUUGGGGAAAAGUGAUUAGGCCUCAUGGUAACACUGGUGUUGUCCGUGCUAAGUUCAAGUCCAAUCUUCCUCCCAAAUCCAUGGUAUUAUUAUGCAAUCUUAUUAAAGUUUAUGUAUGUGGUUUCUUAUAUAUAAGUUUUUUGAAAUGGGGUUUUGAUUUGUGUAAUUGUUCGUUGUUUGCAGGGAGCUAGGGUCAGGUUUUUCAUGUACCCAUGUAAUAUAUGAAGGGUCAGGGUUUUCAUGUACCCAAGUAAUAUAUGAGGUAAUGUACUUGCCUUUUUGUGCUAUUGUAUUUUAGUAAUGGUUUAUUUGUUUGCUUUUGUUUUCCAUUUGAUUUGGUGCAAAUUGGAGAGUAUAAGCUCUGUAUUAGUUCAUUAACAUAUAUUUUGGGUAAUUUCUAGCUGCCAGGUUAGGACCUGAAAAAAACAUUUAAGUUAUUGUGACAUUUGUAGUUACCUUUGUUUUUUUAACUUUAGUUAACCUUAAUAAGCUUGUCUCUGAACUUGAUUACAUGCAUAUUGUAGUUUCUGUUUCUGUGUGUGUGAUCUUUUUUGAUGGCUGGCCUUGAAAAGUUGAUUAAUUUUAAAAUAUUACGGUCAUGAGACAUAUGAAUAAUUAACAAGUACCAAGAUUUAUGGUUGUUUCCUAUUAAAAGGCCACAAUAAUUUCCCCUUGACUUAUAGCAUUUCUAGCAGGCCGGUAAUGAACAAUUAUAUUUAGUCUAGGAUACAAAUUUCGCUCCAGCAAACAGACUAAAGAUAGUCCAUCGAAUUUUUUGGCAAGGCUAAACGACUAAAGAUGAAGAAAGAAGAAGAUGAGAAGGGUCUUAAUAAAAAAGUAACGAAUAGAAAUUAAAAAAUUUAUAAAUAUGCACAAUAAUUUAAUAUAUUUUACCUAUCUCUCAAUCAACUACUUCAACCUUUAACAAUUAUAAGUAUUUUGUUAAUAAUAAUUUAUAUUUUUAUUAUAUUUGAUAUUUAUUUUUUAAUUGAUAAUAUUUCUUUAAUUUAUUUUUUAGGUGGAAAAUUAUGGUCCUCUUAUGUAUUAUAUUAUUUUUUAUUAUAUUUGAGUUUUUUUGAAUUUAUUGAUUAUUUUAAUUUUUUUAUAUUAUAGUCCACGGGAUAGUCCACAUGAUAGUCCAUUUGUUGGAAGGAUUGAAGACCAAUGGACAUCUGCUGAUGUCAUAUGGAUUAAAUAUAGAUAGUCCAUCUGUUGGAGAUGCUCUUAGUAGCAGAAGAUUUACAAAACUUUGCAUUUCUUAAAUUGUAAUAGGUUUGGACUUGAGUAAUCUCAGUAACAUGAAGACCAUACACAGGUUGGGUAAUUUUUUUAAGGGGAUUGAUAUUUUCGUAGGUUAUUUUGAUAGUUCUGCAAUGGCCCCACAUUCAAAUUGAAAAUCAUCUUUUGUGCCCAAUUUACCCCUAUUUGCAGCAACACACCAUUCCUCUCUCUCUCUCUCCCACCUUCUGCACUUCAUCUUCUCUUUCUAACCUCCACAACUAUCCCAAUCUAACCCAAUUUUCUCUAACCCAAUUUCACCUACUCAAGUAGAAAGUAAGUAAUCUUUCGUUCGAUGAGAGAGACCCACAAAUAUGAACUACAUAGAAAUUAUCUAAUCCAAUCCAUCAUCUCCUCCCUCUGUCAAAACUCCCCCGUACCUGCAUCUAAUUCAAAUCCAUAGUUGUCAUGGCGUCACCAAGGCAUCGCCUAGCGUUGGAGAACGGCAAGGUGCCUUGGAUGUCGAGCCGCCAAAGCUCACACCUUGGUAGCUGGUCCAAGUUAAGUGAUUAAGUCAUUUUUUACCUAUCACUCAUCAUAACCCAUCAUGAAUUUGUUAUGUUGUGUAAUUUUAUUACUUAUUAUACUUGUAAUGGGUGAUGGGUAAGUCAUCAUUCUUUAUUUUUAAUGUGGUGUUUAUUAACCUGUUCUACUAGUUUUUAGUUUCAAGUGUUUUAUUUUUGAAUUUUGAUUGUGAAGUAUUUAUAUAAUUGUGUUUAUAAUUGUAUUUCAUAGUGUUAGUUAUUAUGAUUUGGGUAUUAAUGUAUAUAAAAUUUUAUUGUUCAAUAUACUUUUAAAGUAAAAUAAUAAUGUAUAAAUUGCAUAUUGUUAACAACUUGUGACCAUACGGACGUCAUUGCUGGUGCCUUAUUGUUUAGGCGUCUUGACGGUCAACUACCAUUGCAUCUCGCCAUGCNNNNNNNNNNNNNNNNNNNNNNNNNNNNNNNNNNNNNNNNNNNNNNNNNNNNNNNNNNNNNNNNNNNNNNNNNNNNNNNNNNNNNNNNNNNNNNNNNNNNAGAUGCUCUUAGUAACAGAAGAUUUAUAAAAGUUUGUAUUUCUUAAUUGUGUAAAAUGUUUGGACUUCAGUAAUCUCAGUAACAUGAAGACUAUACACGUGCUGGGUAAUUUUUUUGAGGGGAUUGAUAUUUUCGCAGGUUAUUUUGAUAGUUCUGUAAUGGCCCCACAUUCAAACUGAAAAUCAUCUUUUGUGCCCAAUUUACCCCUAUUUGCAACAACACACCAUUCCACUCUCUCUCUCUCUCCCACCUUCUGCACUUCAUCUUCUCUUUCUAACCUCCACAACUAUCCCAAUCUAACCCAAUUUUCUCUAACCCAAUUUCACCUACUCAAGUAGAAAGUAAGUAAUCUUUCGUUCGAUGAGAGAAAGACCCACAAAUAUGAACUACAUAGAAAUUAUCUAAUCCAAUCCAUAGUCUCCUCCCUCUGUCAAAACUCCCCCGUACCUGCAUCUAAUUCAAAUCCAUAGUUGUCAUAGUGGUUUUAUGAUGUCUUUAUCAUGUUAGAUCUAUUGAAUGACGAGGGACGUGGUGCAAAGAUCAGUAGACGGCGGAGCUCAAUUAGGUGUUGUAACAAGUAGGGCAAAAUGGACACAAAUAAAUUGCUUUUAAUUAGGAUGUAGGGUCCAUUGCGGAAAUAUCAAUUCCCUUUUUUUAAUUAAUUGAAAACCAAAUAAUCCGUUGAAAGUCAUGUAUCUGUGUGUGCUAAAUGGUAUUGUCACUUCAAACUUCUUUAGAAUUAUCUCUUAUUUACUUUUAUAACAGAUUUACCACUUACUUAUUUGUGAAUCCUAGAUCUCCAAUAUGGUAUUUUUACUGCAAGUGCAAGCUUCCUUAGAAAUGUAGCAUUUAGAGUAAAUGCUUGUCCCCUAGUUGUCAAUGAAAGAGUUAACUUCUAUCCAAGCAUUGUUUUAUUGGUACAGGGACACAUUUCCUUUGGGCCUUGUUUUUGUGAAAGAGUCCAACUUAACUAAUAAAACUUAAAAUAAAUGAAUUGUUACCUCGAUCAAGGAUUAUUCAUUAACCUCUUUAUACAUUGCGUAAUGCCUGCUUUUGUAGACAUGUUUAUAUGAUUGUUUUAUGUUGUAAUUUUGUUUGUGUUUUCUUAUUUCAGUUUCUCCUCAAGGGAAGAAGAAAGGAUUGUCAUAUUUCUAGCUUCAAAAGGUUUUGAAUAUCAUUGUCGAAGUCAACACCGAUUGGAGUGACUUGCAUUUUCGUUUUUAUUUCUUUUGGAGAGCUGAAUGCUAUGUAAUUUCUCAAGUUAAAGUAGCAUUUUUCUUUGCACAAUUUUUUGCCUGUUUAGUACACAAUUCUAGAACAUAUGACAUGAUUUGACGAAAUUAUAAUUAUUUGGGUUCUCGGUUAUUCCUUGCUUUGAACUAAUAGAGAGAUUGAGGAUGGGGAGCGAAAGAGUAGUAGGAAAGUGAUAAUUUUAGGUGGCAAAGGCUCUUUUCUUGCGCAUUGAUUCUUCUUCCAAAAUUUCAGGGCUUCUCUUUAUGUACCUGCUGCUAAUUUCCAUGUUAGUGGUGUUUCAAACUUACACGAAGCUUUUUGGGUUCCUUCCCAUCUGCAUCUUCUUGCUGCUUUGUUUAUUUGACUCUUUUUGUACUUGGUUUCAAGUUUUUAGUAAUGAAAUUUUAUUACUUGUUAGUAGUAGUAGUGAAAUGUGGUAAUCUUAUAACUUCAUUUAACUAACCCGUUAAUAUAUUUCCACAUCUAAACGCCUAAUGUCCAUCCUAUAUUAGUGUAAUUUUGCUGAUAUUCAGAUUCAGUAUGAUUUAUUUAUGGAUGUGGUGGACUAGGCAUAUUUUAUAGUAAAAUGGAGUCUACCACCAUUGCUGAUACCAGAGUUCUACCCGGCUUGGUUGAAAAUGUUUGAAAGAUGGUUUGAUUAGUCUACUUUUGGGGAUUAAAGAAAACAAGUUCAGACUUCAGAGUGAUAAUUGUUUCUGGCUUUAUAAUAAUAAUGCUCUUAACUAAUGUAUUGAUUGCUCAAACUAGUUUCGAUUUGGAAAACACUAUCAAUUAUACAGUUUUUGCUGCAACAUCUGGAGGAAAAAUUGUUCAGUUUUCUCACAUUUCUCCUUGGAUUUCUAUUUGAUAAGGUUUGAAUGGUUAUGAUAGUUGUUGAAUAAUUUGUUUAACAGUUACCAUCUCCAAUAUUUCUGAUUCAGAUGGCUCAUAAGAAUUGGAGGGCUGUCCUUUAUUAGGACAUUCUACUUUGUUUUCCAAAUAUUUUUCUCUAAUAACAUUUCCUCUUUUACCUCAGAAAAAUUUUCAGGAUUACAUCUAUUUUGCAUUGACCAAAACUGCAACUGCUGUGAUCACAGAAAACCCUUAAAAGGGUAGGGUAGGGAGCAUGAAGUUCAUUUUUGGGUAAGUUGGUCAAUAGAAUGCUGACACACAUAGAGUCUUGUAUGCGUGUCAGCAUUCUAUUGGUCAAUUGACCAACUUACUCAAAAAUGAACUUCAUGCUAACCAUUUUCGUAGGGAAGGUAAGCCUCCAUUAAUGAUGCAAAAGAAACAGGUAGUUUAUUGUCUGUCCUGGAUUCGAAAUUACCAAAUUAUGAUGCAAAGGAAAACAUGAAUAUGUUGAGUGAAGUCUGAGAGCAAAGGAGCUUCCACAACAAAAGUGUCGCUAUAGAUCUUAUAGCGACGAUUUUCACUGUCGUUAUACAUCUUCAGCGACAUUUUUGUUGUAAAAAUAAUAAAAAAUAUUAUGGAUUUAACGAUUCAUCUUUUUUUUUUCUUGGCAAAUUUAUAAUCAAGUUAUAUGAACAUUCACAAGCAAAUUAUGAGAAUCAUAUUUCAAGUUUUUUCACUAUCAAAUUAUGAGUGACCAAGCAAAGGUCUUAGUAUGUUCACUUAUACUUCAAUAGAUUCUACCCAAAUGUAUAAGCUACUUAUAAAAAUAUUCAAACAUUCAAUUCAACAUGUAACAGAUAGAAAAAGCUAAAAGAAAAUCAUAACAUUGCAAAAUCUUUUUAAGCCUCAAAAUAACAAAUAUGGAUGUGGGGGGUCAAAUGUAGUUUGAACACUAUAUAUUUACCAUGUUGUAACAUGAAUAUGUGCAAAACAAACAAAAAUAGCAUGAAAACAGAUCUCCAUUAUCGACAUAUACAGGAAAAUGCACAUAUACGGAAACAAUAUAUACAUGUAAAUAUAAAGAUAAUAGAGCUGAGAAAAAGUUGGAGCAAAUUAAUACCAACCUAAAGGUCAAGUCUUUCUGAUGCUACGCUGCAGGGUACAGUUUACUCUGGUCAGAAAUCCUAGUAUGAAAAAAAUCAGAUAGAGAUCAAAACUAGUAUUAUGAACAAAACCCAGCAUUAAAAAGCUGAUUGAAAAUAUCCCCAAUUCAAAAAUCAAAAGAAAAGAGAGAGAGAGUUAAAAUUAUAUCUCAAAAUUUCAAUAUUUUUAAGAAUCCCAGUAGAAUAAUCGAACUGAAAGAAAUGAUAACACCCACCAGAGUCGAAGAAUCGGUGUUUGAUGGUUGGAUCUUUGGCCGGAUCUCAAACGUAGAUCAGGCUGCUUUUUGUAUUUAAAAAUGUAAAUCAGGUUUUCACAUCUGCCAC
rnacentral:lncRNA from 1 species